rnacentral:rRNA from 1 species
AGUGAACGCUGGCGGCGUGCCUAACACAUGCAAGUCGAACGGAUCUUAAGGGCUUGCUCUUAAGGUUAGUGGCGCACGGGUGAGUAACACGUAGCUAACCUGCCCCAUAGUAAGGGACAACAGUUGGAAACGACUGCUAAUACCUUAUACUCCUUCUCUACCUAAGUAGAGUCGGGAAAGUUUUUUCGCUAUGGGAUGGGGCUGCGGCCUAUCAGCUUGUUGGGGAGGUAAUGGCUCACCAAGGCUAUGACGGGUAGCUGGUCUGAGAGGAUGAUCAGACACAUUGGAAAGGAGACACGGUCCAACAUCCUACGGGAGGCAGCAGUGGGGAAUUUUACACAAUGGGCGAAAGCCUGAUGUAGCAACGCCGCGUGGAGGAUGAAGGAUUUAGGUUCGUAAACUCCUUUUAUAAGGGAAGAAAUUUGACGGUACCUUAUGAAUAAGCACCGGCUAACUCCGUGCCAGCCGCCGCCGUAA